UUUUAGUUUGAUCCUUAGUUGUUUCAUGAUUUAGAGAAAUAAAUUUCAGAUUUUCUUUGCUUAGGAUUUUUGGUUUCAGUUCCAUCUAUCCUUGUAAUCAAGUAUGCGAGAUAUAUAAUAAACAUUAGUUGAGUUUUUCUUGUUUACCCGUGGGCACCCAUCACCAUAGCAUGUCAAUAGAAAGAAAGAUAGAGAUCAUAUGCUCAUCCCAUGAGAAGUAAUGACAUCAUGCAAAAGGGUAU
rnacentral:lncRNA from 1 species